rnacentral:rRNA from 1 species
AUUGAACGCUGGCGGCAGGCUUAACACAUGCAAGUCGAGCGGAGAUGAGGUGCUUGCACCUUAUCUUAGCGGCGGACGGGUGAGUAAUGCUUAGGAAUCUGCCUAUUAGUGGGGGACAACAUUCCGAAAGGAAUGCUAAUACCGCAUACGUCCUACGGGAGAAAGCAGGGGAUCUUCGGAGCUUGCGCUAAUAGAUGAGCCUAAGUCGGAUUAGCUAGUUGGUGGGGUAAAGGCCUACCAAGGCGACGAUCUGUAGCGGGUCUGAGAGGAUGAUCCGCCACACUGGGACUGAGACACGGCCCAGACUCCUACGGGAGGCAGCAGUGGGGAAUAUUGGACAAUGGGGGGAACCCUGAUCCAGCCAUGCCGCGUGUGUGAAGAAGGCCUUAUGGUUGUAAAGCACUUUAAGCGAGGAGGAGGCUACUGAGACUAAUACUCUUGGAUAGUGGACGUUACUCGCAGAAUGAGCACCGGCUAACUCUGUGCCAGCCGCCGCGGUAAUAC